rnacentral:rRNA from 1 species
AGCCAUGCAUGUCUAAGUAUAAGCAAUUAUACAGCGAAACUGCGAAUGGCUCAUUAUAUAAGUUAUCGUUUAUUUGAUAGUACCUUACUACUUGGAUAACCGUGGUAAUUCUAGAGCUAAUACAUGCUAAAAAUCCCGACUUCGGAAGGGAUGUAUUUAUUAGAUUAAAAACCAAUGCCCUCUGGGCUCCUUGGUGAUUCAUAAUAACUUUUCGAAUCGCAUGGCCUUGCGCCGGCGAUGGUUCAUUCAAAUUUCUUCCCUAUCAACUUUCGAUGUUUGGGUAUUGGCCAAACAUGGUCGCAACGGGUAACGGAGGGUUAGGGCUCGACCCCGGAGAAGGAGCCUGAGAAACGGCUACUACAUCCAAGGAAGGCAGCAGGCGCGCAAAUUACCCAAUCCCGAUUCGGGGAGGUAGUGACAAUAAAUACUGAUACAGGGCUCUUUUGGGUCUUGUAAUUGGAAUGAGUACAAUUUAAAUCCCUUAACGAGGAACAAUUGGAGGGCAAGUCUGGUGCCAGCAGCCGCGGUAAUUCCAGCUCCAAUAGCGUAUAUUAAAGUUGUUGUGGUUAAAAAGCUCGUAGUUGAACCUUGGGCCUGGCUGGCCGGUCCGCCUCACCGCGUGUACUGGUCCGGCCGGGCCUUUCCCUCUGUGGAACCUCAUGCCCUUCACUGGGUGUGGCGGGGAAACAGGACUUUUACUUUGAAAAAAUUAGAGUGCUCCAGGCAGGCCUAUGCUCGAAUACAUUAGCAUGGAAUAAUGAAAUAGGACGUGUGGUUCUAUUUUGUUGGUUUCUAGGACCGCCGUAAUGAUUAAUAGGGACAGUCGGGGGCAUCAGUAUUCAAUUGUCAGAGGUGAAAUUCUUGGAUUUAUUGAAGACUAACUACUGCGAAAGCAUUUGCCAAGGAUGUUUUCAUUAAUCAGGAACGAAAGUUAGGGGAUCGAAGACGAUCAGAUACCGUCGUAGUCUUAACCAUAAACUAUGCCGACUAGGGAUCGGACGA